UGUUGGAGAGAGAGGUACAAUGGCCUCCUUUCUGAGCCAAUGGUGACAUUUCUGAGCUCCAGGCCCUGCUAGGAGAGGAGAGGAGAGAAAAGAAGAGGCAUCUGAAGAGGAGAAAGUUGGAGGCCCAAGAGAGGACCAGAUAAAGGACCAAAAUAAAGGAAGCAAUGAGAGGAGCACAACAUGGGGGAACUGAUCUAAAGCUAUCAAGCAGGCUCUGCAAGUGUUUGCUGGGGCUCAUGCAUAUUGCAAAAGGGCUAUUUCUUGAAACACCUUUCCUUCUGGCUCCCUCCACCAGCCCCUGGAUCUGGUCUCACCUGGCCCAGCCUGUUCCUACCUUUAAAGGGAGGGUGAUCCAAGAGUGCUUGAGGGUUUGACAAAACCAGGCUGUCUCUACAUAUCUCCUCACAGAGAGGUGAAUGACUCAGAAUGCAGUCUUUUUAAAAUAGUGAGUACAUUUAAAAUUUUGUGAAUGUUUUAAGUAGCCAGAAAGUAAAUGUUUUAACUAGGCCUUGGUUUUUCUUUCUUUUUUCAGUGAGUAGGAACAGAUUAAGGCAGAUUUUGGUGAUUGAAAAAAUAUGUAAAAUUUCAUUUUAAAAUAUUCCUUUUACAUGAAUUUAAGUGCACAAAGCCAACAGAUUAUCUCUCUGAAUCUAGAAGCAUAUGAAUAGAAGUUCCUUCAAAAUAAAACAAAACAGCUUUAUGAUAGUCA
rnacentral:lncRNA from 1 species